GAAUCUUGCGCAAUGGGCGAAAGCCUGACGCAGCGACGCCGCGUGAGCGAUGAAGGCCCUCGGGUUGCAAAGCUCUGUGGAGAGGGAAGAAUAAGCGCAGGUUACCAUCCUGCGUGAUGACGGUCCCUCUUUCGCCAGCACCGGCUAACUCUGUGCCAGCAGCCGCGGUAAGACAGAGGGUGCAAACGUUGUUCGGAAUUACUGGGCGUAAAGCGCGUGUAGGCGGCCGGGCAAGUCGGAUGUGAAAGCCCACGGCUCAACCGUGGAAGUGCACUCGAAACUGCUCGGCUGGAGUCCCGGAGAGGAAGGUGGAAUGCUUGGUGUAGAGGUGAAAUUCGUAGAUAUCAAGCAGAACACCGGUGGCGAAGGCGGCCUUCUGGACGGUGACUGACGCUGAGACGCGAAAGCGUGGGGAGCAAACAGG
rnacentral:rRNA from 1 species